rnacentral:rRNA from 1 species
UACGGAGGGUGCAAACGUUGCUCGGAAUCAUUGGGCGUAAAGCGCACGUAGGCGGCCUGUUAAGUCGGAUGUGAAAGCCCGGGGCUCAACCCGGGAAGUGCAUACGAAACUGGCGGGCUUGAAUAUGGAAGAGGGUCGCGGAAUUCCCGGUGUAGAGGUGAAAUUCGUAGAUAUCGGGAGGAACACCAGUGGCGAAGGCGGCGACCUGGGCCAAUAUUGACGCUGAGGUGCGAAAGCGUGGGGAGCAAACAGG